AGAUCUUUGCAUGUUCUGUCCAGCAAGUUCUCUCUCCAUGAAGACCAUACCACCUAAAGUGACCCCAUCUCAGUCUGUCUGUUGUGAAAAUUUGACAUAUCCCCAGACUGGACUGAGUGAGCUGCUUUAGGAAGCUGUAUGUUUUUGGAAUUUAAUUCAAAUUUAAAUGAGGUUUCCUGCAUGUUUGGACAUUAUACCUCAGAGCCGUGGGUGCCAGAGCCCUGUCCUAUGAAUGUGUCUCUUCUGAAAAUUGCUCUAGGGAUUGGUUUUACUGAUUGGACAAAAAAUAUUUUGAACCAAUUAUAACAAAAUAGCUCAUUUCUCUUUUAUAUACAUCAUGCAAUGUCUUCACAAUCAGAUUAUGAGAUCUCUAAUUACAGAAGAGGAUUUUUAUAUUUCCUACUAGCAAACAUUUGUCCACAAAAGUUAUGAAAAACAGCUGUUAUCUGGAAUGUGGCUUGAAAUAUAUCCUGUUACUCUAAAAUGGUAUUGAUAUGAUUUAUAGUUGUCCUAUUGCAGCGAUUUUAUAAGAACUCAAUCCACAGCUCUUCUAACAUGUCUUGACAGCUUUAUUGAGAUACAAUUUACACAUUAAAAAACUGCAUGCAUUUAAUAUGUACAAUUUGAAUAUUUUUGGCAUAUCUAUGCCCAUAGGAAUUUAUCAUCUACAACCAAGAAAAUCAACAUCUCCAUCAGUCCCCUAAAUUUUCUUCUGUCCCUAUGUAAUCCCUCUUCCUACCUGCCAUCACUAGGUGGUAUGGGCUAAAUUGUGCACUGCCCAUCCCCUCCCCUCCCAUUUUAUAUGUUGAAGUCCUAAUCCCUAGCACCUCAAAACAUGACUGUGUUUGGAAACAGGCCUUCAAAGAGGUGAUUAAGCUACAACAAGGCUGUUAGGAUGAACCCUAAUCUGAUCUGACUGGUGUUCCUAUAAGAAAAGAAAAUUAAGACACACAAAGAGAUACCAGGGUAUAUUUACACAUAGAGGAGACCGCGUGAGGUACAAAGAGAGAAGGCAGCCAUCUGCAAGCUAACAAAAGAAAUCUCAGAAUGAAAUCAACCCACCAACACCUGAUUUCAGACUUCUAGCUUCUGAAACUGAGAGAAAAUAUCUGUUGUUUAAACCAUCAGUCUGUGGUACUUUCUUAGAGCAGCCCUAGCAAACUAUCAUACCAGGCAACCACUGACUAGCCUUCUGUCACUAUAGAUUAGAUUGUAUUUUCUGGAAUUUUAUAUAAAUGUACUCUUUUGGUCUGGCUUGUUUCAUUCAGUAUAAGUUAUUUGAGAUCCAUCCAUGUUGGGUUGUAUCAAUAAUUCAUUCCUUUUUAUUAUUAAUAUUUUGUUGAAUGGAUAUACCACAGUUUAUUCAUCCAUUUAUUUGUUACUGGACAUUUAGGUUGUUUUCUGGUUGAACUGUUACAAAUCAAGCUUCUAUGGACAUUUAUUUACAAGUCUUUUAUGAAUAUGUGCUUUCUUUGAUCUUGGGUAAAUAUCCAAGGUUGGAAUGGCUGGGUCAUAUGAUAGGAGUAUGCUAACCUCUUUAAGAAACUGCUAAACUAUUUUCCAAAAAUUGUACCAUUUUACAUUCCCACCAGCAGUCUUUGAGAGCUCCAGUUGCUCCGUAUCUUUGCCUAAAACUAGUAUGGUCCAUCUUUUUUAAUGUAAUUGUUCUAAUAGGUAUAUAACAGUAUGCUAUUGUGCUUUUUAAAUUUGCAUUGUAUUAUGACAGUGGUAUUGAUGAUCAUCUUUUCAUUGCUUAUUUACCGAAGUACAUCUUUUUUGGUAAAGUGUUUACAUUUUUGCAUUCUUUUUUGAGUUGUUUUUUUAUUACUGAGUUUUGCAGUUUUUAAGUAUAUUCUGAACCCAAGUUCUUAAUCAAAUAAAUGACUUGAAAAUAUACUCAGUCUUUUUAUUCUCUCACUAGAGUCUUUUACAGAAUAGACAUUUUUCAUUUUAAUUAAGUCUAUUUAUCAAUUUAUUAUUUUAUGGAUCAUUUGGUAUUGCAUUUGGAAAAAUCUUUGCCUAACCGAAGGUCAAAAUUCUUCUCUUACAUUUUCUUCUAGAAUUUUUAAAGUUUUAAGAUUUGAAUUUAGGUUUCUAAUCCAUUUUGAAUUGGCGUUUUUGUACUACAUUUUUUUUCCUUCACCUCUAUAUGUAGAAUCAAUUAAGGUAAUAAUAGUUUCUAUCUGAAAUGUCCUGCUAACACACUUACCUAUUUCAAUACUCAUUCUACCUUCCCGUCUCCCUGCAUUUUGUUUUUUUUUUUUACAUCCUUUCACCCAGGCUUUAGCUCCCAUCUCCUUCUAAGUCCUCACGCCCUUGCUGUGUCUAUGAUACUAAUGUGAUUCAGACCAUUUCUCUCCCAGUUUCUUUCCUUCAUAUAUAUGCAAUUUUAAGUCUUUCUUAUUUAAAAUAAUAAUAAUAAUAAUAAUAAUGCUUUUUGAAGCUGCAUAGCUUUCUAACUACAUAACAUUAACUUGCUUUGUUCUUUUCCUAUAAAACUAUUCUCUUGAAAGAAUUAUAUAUUCUCUCAUUUCUCUCUCUUCCAACCAACACUGCCAGGUUUCUGGCCCAGUCAUCGCACUGACACUAUUCUUACCAUCAACACUUGUGAUUUCCCUUUGCCACUUAUACAGAUCCCAUUUCAGCAUUCAUCACACAGGUCUCCCUGGGAGGCAUUUACACUGUGGAUCUCUGUAACUGGAAGGCAUUUCCAAAGCUUGUCUGAGUCUUCCACAUUGUCUCUCCUCUUUCUCUCUGUUACUUGAGACAUGUUUUCUCCAUAUUUUCUCUUCUCAUUCUAUACAUUCCACUGGUGACCACACAUAAAAUCAAGGAAUCAAAUGCCACCUUUGAAAAAUGAAUCUCCUAAGUAGAUUUCUGGUCCAGACUUAUUUACCCAGACCAUCAACUUUCUGUUGUAUAUUUCCAAUAGCAAUGUCAAGUGCAAUACGUGACAAACAUAAUGCCAUUCUUCUUUCACCUAAACACAGGGGUCUUUCAUACUUCCUGUGGGGGUAGACGGCACAUCAUUAACCCUGUCACCUAACCACUGUCCCCUCCAUUCCCAAUGAAAAAUAACCCAGAUAUUUCAGUUACAUCUCCUACAUAUGUCUCCAAUCUAUGCUUUCUCUUCAUAUCCACUGCUUCUCUCCUUAGUAUAUCUCAUCUAAAAUUCUGGAAUAGACUUCAGAUGGACCUGCAGAUUCUAAUUCUUACCCUCUCAACAUUCGACUUGUAUAUUGAUGCAUGAGUAAAGUUUCUGAAACACAAAUAUGUUUAGGGGAAUCCCAUGUAGAUCAUAUAUUUAGGCAACUCUAAUACAGAAAAAAUUGAACCCAUUCUCAUGUAACAUUCAGAUUGUUGUCUUUCUCUCACAUCUCAUCACUAACAACUGCUCUACACAAAAUCUGAGAUCUAGCAAUAGCUAGCUUCAUAUAGUUUCCUGAGCAUGGAAUAUUGAUACAACUUCCAGGCCUCAGAUGAGUGGACAAAAUUAAACUCACAAGGCAGUAAUGGCAUUCAAUCCCUGAAAAUUUCGCUGCUCUUUCUAAAAAGGUAAAAUAUAUUCUGCCUAUUAUAAAGUAAAUGCUGACCUUCCUAUUUUGUUUCUUUUCCUUUACGCUAAUGGAAAAUAACUUUAUGAUUUAAAAUAUAAUUUAUUGUACUUAUAAUAAUUUGUUUUGACUUGAUGGUUAAUGCUUGGGCAUAACUUAAAAUUAGAAUAAAAUGUAUAAAUGUAAAAGAAUCAUUUAUGUACUAUAAAUCAUUGAUAUGAUAUUCUCAAAGUACUUUGUGAAAAGCACAUUAAGAAGUAUGGAUCCUAAUGCAUAGGUAAGAAAACACAGAGAUAGGUUAAAGAGCUAAAAUAUCAUAAAUCCCAACCUGUCUUACUUCCCAUUAUUUUUAUCUGCCUGAUAUUAAAGAUCCUUCUUAUCAUAAAAUUAUCUGCAAGGAAAUGAAACAUUGAGUUCAGUACUGAUGAGUCUUGAAAAAAAGAAACAGAAUAAAAAUUCACACACUAUCUUUUCCAUUUCACUUAGUGUCCUGAAGCCAAACAGGAGUAUUCCCUAGAAUUACUUGUAAAAACAUUAGAACAGGGUGCAAACCUGGAUUCUACUGCUUGCUAGUUGUGUGACUUUAGGCAGAUCAUUCAC
rnacentral:lncRNA from 1 species